rnacentral:lncRNA from 1 species
UUGUGCAGACUUAUCCAGGACAGAGUCACUGGCUUUGGACUCCUAAAGGACAAAUAUCAGAUAGGAUCCCAGGCUUGUGAUGACAAUGAUUUUGAAAAGCUAAUUAGAAGAAUCUUCUUUCUUCCCCUAGACCUGAUUUAAAUAGCACACUGGUUCUUAUUCCACAUCCUUCUGCUUCUAUGGAGGAAUUUUUAUUUCUUCAGUCAAAAGAUGCAGGAAAGACAUCCUACCUCUUGGAAGAAUCAUUGGACUGGACAUCCAAACACCUGAGUCCUAGCCUUGAGUCUGCCUCUCACAGCAGUAUGACCCUGGGCAAGUCCUUGUGGAAUAAGGGCAUGGACAGAAUGAUGUCAGAGGUUCCUUCUAGCUCUAAUAUUCUACAGUUUCCUUUUAGUUCAAAUUUAAAGACAAAAUGUCUAACAGUGGUUCUUGUUUGUUAUGACCAGUAUUGUCAAAAGAGAAGUUGUACAAGUUUUUUUUGCCUGUUUUUCAUGUAUGUGUGA